UACAUAUAUUUCAAAAGUUGCAGCACCCUCACAAACCGCCAUUAGGUAUAAUAAUGGUAGUUUGGCAGUUAGAGCAAACUGUACGUUUCUAUUGAAUAUCGUCGUGUAAAAACCGGUUUCAAUGUGUACUCACACGAAUAGAAAAACGAAAAGGAUUAUUAAUUCUGCUAAUUAUCGAAUGAUGAAUCGCUUGAAAAUUAAAGCAUUGGAGACGACGACAGGCGACACAGCAACGCGGCACAGUUGCAACGUCGACGGAAAAUCACUUUUACCUGGUGCACGUCGUGACAAAUGAAUACGAAUGCCCAUCGAACGACAUUGGCGAAAACAUGAAUGAUUGCUGAUCCGUACAUUGGGACAUUCGUCAUUUAACCACGGAGGAAUGAAAAUUUAAGGGCCAUCGGAUGUAGCGCUGACAUUUCACGCGUGCAAAAUUUCUUUCUGUUCUUUCGAAAAAUAGAUAGUGCUUUUAACGAUUAUCGGUGAAGAUUAAUGUUUCACAGGAGUGAAAACACCAAAACGAAAGAAGUCAACAUAAUGUUUCAAACAAUCUCAAAACAUUGUGGUUGUAACCCCUUGCUUUAUGACUUUUUUCUCAAUUUUCAGCAACCAUUUAUUAUCAUAACGUGUUACAUCGUGUCAGAUGCAAAGCACUAAAAGCAUUAUGUAUAAUUUGUAUUUAUUAGUCUUCAGUUUGAAGAGUUGAGAUAAAAAAUACAAAAUUAUAUUGCCUAAGACUACAAUUUGCUUUUUCUUUCAGAUUGAAACCGAAUCUUCACCGAAUAAUUUCUGCCACGAGUGUAACUCGAUAAAAUAACUCAAAGGUUGAACGUGUUUUACAGUUUCUAAACCGAUACAUUCUUCAAAUAAUCCAGCCAUAGUUAACCGUUUCUCCAUCACGAAGCGGAAUACCUCGAGACUAGUAUUAAUAGAGACUGGUAAAUAUUUAAAUCAAGAUUGGAUAAAUCACAAUACACGUGGACAUAUGCAAUUUCAUCUAAGUCGCGAUGGAAAUGGAAUAUAAAAUAUAUAAAAUAUGCAAUUUAUUAAUUAUUAACUGUUAACUGGCAUCAUUAUGCUAUUGAAUGGCGAAUAUGGAAUUGGCGUGUAUGAGAGGACGCUGUAGCGUGUAACAUGGAAAAAAGUUUGGUGACUCAUCGAUCGAGAUGGAAAUGCAUAUUCGCAGACAAAGAUCGACUCGAUAAAUUCGCAAAAGAUUUCUUGGUUUGGCAAGGCUUUAAUGGAAAACGCGGCCUCUGGAAACUCCAGGCAUCGGAAUAUCCGUGCAGACGCAGAAUCAGAGAGGGGUCUCCGUCGAUGUUGAGACACGAGAACGCUUUUCCGGUGACACGUAAAUAAAAGUUCGAAGGUAAAGCGGUUGGAAAUAAAACUAGCCUAGGUCGAGGAACGAAGCGGCGGCGAGAAGUGAGCGCGGGGAGGGGUAAAAGGAAAAAUCGUUGCAUCGAGAAAAACUGACAUAUAUGAAGGUUAUCGCUUCUCGUUGAUAUAUUUUUACUAGACUCUUUGCGAGUCGAUCGUCAGUUGAUUUAAGUUCCGUUUGCAAUACGUGGUCUCUUGGUGAACGAUUGGUUUGUUUCCAACGGUUCUAAUCUUUGCUCGUAUUUGCACGGAAUUAUUUCGUUUAAUUUAAUUUCUUUAUCUAUUUAUACGGGAUAAAAAUUCCUUGAUAUAAAGAUACGUAAGGUGCAGAAAUAUAAACACAAUUAAUACAGUCGGAUAAAUAGAGUCAAUGGAUUAAUUGAGAUUUUAUUAAAUGGAGUUCGCUAGAAAUAAUGUAACGUCAUUU